UCACUGCUUUUUAUUUGAGGAUCCACUCUUCCCUUCCUCUUGGUGUCUAGGGUAGGGAGGGCACAUGGCCCUCAACUAAGCCAAUCAAGGAUGUCUGGCAGACCGUAUUGAUCACAUGAUGCAGGCCUGUCCAAUCUGGUGACUCAUGGCCUGGCCUCAGCCUCAGACUUCCUGCCACCAGGAGAGUGUGCAGAUUCCUGGUAAUCCAGAGCGCCUGCGCAGAGCUUUAGCAGGAAGUUAUUGGUCAACUGCAGCAACGAGGGAUCUUGACGUCUUUCACAGAGCCUGAAGCUAAUCUACUGUUCUUCGUGGGCUUUUCACGGCUAAUAAAGUUUCAUUUUGUUGAUGAAACAGUCCUGAUUCACCUCCUUCCGGAGCAGCUGUGAGGCUGGGACCUGAAGGCAGCUGCACCAGCCCUCUGCGCACAUCUACCACAUCUCAAAGCAGGGCUCAGAUCCCAGGAGGCAAAGCUGUGUGAUGAACUUUCAGGGCCCUGCCCUGUACCAGCGUCACCAGCCCUCCAAGCCUCCCCCAGACAGCUGAUGUCCUGAUUGUCCCACACCUCACCACCAAGCUCCCCAGAAGAAGUUCCUGCCUACUUCACAGCCAGGGACCAUUUUGUCCUCACCCCAGACUGACCGGAGGUUGGAGCACGGUUCUGCCCUGCGGCUCCACUGAUCGUGAGGGAAACAAGGCGGUGAGACACCUGGCAUUUUCCGAGGAAUGCUGGGAUUACAGUCAUGUGCCACCUCGCUCUGCUGGAUCACCUUUUUUGAGCCAUUCUUCAUUCCUGUGGAGUCUAGUCUCUUGGCUUCUGACACAUUGUCUCUGGAUCCUGCACUGCCCCUGGGAUCUGACUGUAGCAUCUGGAGUUAUUUUUCCUUUGAACCAAACAUAAAAAAAUUGUGGACUAAAUAAUUAAUUUAUGGAUUGUGCAUGUCUUCCUUACUCAUCUAAAUAUUACUGAGUCAUCAACAGCCAUACAUAUGUAAUAGCAAUUAAAUGCAGUCAUCUUUGAUAUUUUGCUGAUUGUAUAUGGAAACCCAGCCUCUCUGUACUGUAUUUUUUAUCAUGUCAUUACUAAGACAUAUUUACUAAGACAGGAGAAAUACUUUAACAGUCUGUUAGUUUGAUUUGUAAUAUUUAAAACACCUAGGUGUAUAGUGUGUAAACCCUUAUUUGUAAUUUCACUGCUAGCUUGGUAGAAUUAUGGAUGGCACUGAACAAUUCCUUUUUUUUUUUUUUUUUUUUUUUUUUUUUUUUUAAUGAAACAGGAUCUCACAUUGUAGCCCAGGCUGGCCUCAAACGCAUGGCAAUGAGGCUCCUCAGGCUCCCAUGCUGGGAUUCCAGGUGAGCACCAUGCUUGGCUGGCACUGAACAAUUCUUAAGUUUCUAGAAAGAAUUCAAUGAUUUUAUAAAUAUUUAUCAUAAAUUCCUUCUUCAAAAACAAAAAUUUCAUUUACAAAAACUGCA
rnacentral:lncRNA from 1 species